rnacentral:rRNA from 1 species
CUCUGUGACUCCUACGGGAGGCAGCAGUGGGGAAUAUUGCACAAUGGGCGCAAGCCUGAUGCAGCAACGCCGUGUGAGUGAAGAAGGUUUUCGGAUCGUAAAACUCUGUCCUAAGGGAAGAAACAAAUGACGGUACCUUAGGAGGAAGCCCCGGCUAACUACGUGCCAGCAGCCGCGGUAAUACGUAGGGGGCAAGCGUUAUCCGGAAUCACUGGGCGUAAAGGGGUGCGUAGGCGGCUUAGCAAGCCAGGGGUGAAAGGCAUUGGCUCAACCAAUGUAAGCCUUUGGAACUGUUAAGCUUGAGUGCAGGAGAGGUAAGUGGAAUUCCUAGUGUAGAGGUGAAAUUCGUAGAUAUUAGGAGGAACACCAGUGGCGAAGGCGACUUACUGGACUGUAACUGACGCUGAUGCACGAAAGCGUGGGUAGCGAACAGGAUUAGAUACCCUGGUAG